CCUCGUCCUAACCCAAUCCCAGGUGGAUAUCUCCCUCUAUUGUUAUUGUUCAUGAUUCGAAGUUUCAAAUCCAAAAAAUUUCAACCCAAAAAUAAUGUACAAUAAACUAAACUCAACUACAAACCUAGGUUUUCUUCUGAAUCAGUGAAACGAUAACUAUACCCAAAUCCCGUAAAACUAUUAAUUCUCAAAAUGGGGUUACAAUUAGAGACUGAACUAACGAAAAGUGCAUAGAAAAAUGUGAAAUUUCUAAAAGUAUGAUAAAUUGAUAAUCACCCAAAAAAAUUGGGUAGGGUUGAGAAUUUGACCGAAAAUUGAGGAUUUUUGUACAGAUCUACGCUACAAGAGAUGUAUGAGGGUUUGAUUUUGAUGAUUAGGUUUGAAUCGAAAAGCAAUUUGUUGAAGAAUCGAAGAGAGGAAAAUUGAUUUGAAGGGUUAGGGCGAAAAAAGAGUAAGGUUUCAGUUUCAAUGUUGUUUCAUUUCGAAUUGUACGUACAAAAAACUUGUUAGUUUGUGGAUUGAGAAUUGUUGUUCCCGCAUUCGAUAAGGAAAUCACGGAUAAAAUACAUUUUUGUCCCCUCAGCAGUUAACUAUCAAAGAAUUGAAAAUUUGGCUGUAGUUAACUCACUCCUGAGGAAAAACCUCGGCAGAUAACUGUCGAGAAAAAUGUUAUAAGAACAGACAUAGGAGUUUCCAAAACUCUAUUGUUACGAUUUUUGAUCUUCAAGGUGCGAUUUUGAGCUAUUUCAAGUCAUUCCAAUCCAAUUUCAAUCACAUAAACAAGUAAGUUUUUUUAAUCCUAUUGCAUUGUUGUUUUGUGGUUGAAUUAUUUUUUUUUUUUUGUUAAAUUUUGAUUAUAUAGGUUCGACUAUAUUGAUUUGUUGAUUUUAUGAUAUAUUAGGAUAGUUUAGGUUAGAAUUGUUAGAGAACUUUUUAUUGAAUUGUUAGGUUUAGGUUUUGAUGAAUCGUUGUAGAAUUGUUAGAAUUGUUUAGGUUUAGGUGUAGGUUUUGAUGAUAGUUUAGGUUUAGGUAUAGUUUUUUAUUUUACGAUUUUAUGGCAUUGUUGUUUAGUUAGGUUUUGAUCGCCAUUUUUUUUUAAUGUAAAUAUGUCUUAAAAUCAGAAUCAGGGUAAUGUUCAGGGUGAUGAGAAGAACAAAGAAAAAUCGCAUAUGACGUGGCACGGAAUUGUUUGUGAUGGUUCCGAAAAAAAGAAGGGUUCGAAGGUCCCGGUGUACAAUCACUCGAGGUUGAGGAGGAGCGGGAGGACAUGUUAUUUUGGUCCUCAACAAAAACAAGGCGCCACAGGGACUGUAGCGGGCAACCCGAUUGACUUGUGUGACGAGGAAGAAUGAAUGUAAAGACUUUUAAUGUCUGAUUGUUUUGGAUUUUUUAUGUUUUAUUUUUGUGUCGCGCACAUUUUGUUUGACAUUAUGGUACUUAGAAUAAAAUCGCAUUUGAAAUAAUUUCGGUUAAAGUCGCGUUUUGAAAAAUUGCGUAUUCAAAUAAAAACUAAUUAAAUCUAACGUGAAUUCAACUAAUUAAAAUUGUGUAAGGAAUAAAUAAAUUCAAAAGUGAAUAAAUAAGAUAAUUAUUGUUCCAUUCAAAACAAAAUAUAUGUUAUCACAUUACAUUACAUUCCGGAAUGUGCCUUCCAACUGCAACAAUUAUCUUACCAUUGAAUGGGGCAAAUUCAAAUUUGCUAACCAACAGGACUCUAGUAAUUCGAUCAGCAUCUUGAACGGUGGUAUUCAAGUGUCAAAAGAAUGAGGUUCAUUCCUUGACACUUGAAUACCAGCGUGCAAGACGCUUAUCGAAUGUUGGAGUCCUGCCGAUUAACAAGUUUGAAUUGUCCCAUUCAGAGUAAGAUAAUUGUUGGAGUUGGAAUGCACGUUGGAAUGUGCAUUCCAACUCCAACAAUUGUCUUACCUUUGAAUUGGGUCAAUUCAAACUUGUCAAACAAUAGGACUCAAACAUGAAUGUCGAGCGAAAUGCUUUAGUCCUGGCUGUUUGGCAAGUUUGAAUUACCCCAUUUCAGAGGUAAGACAAUUGUUGCAGUUGGAAUGCACCUUACCCUAACUAAUGACGAUCUUCAGUUGAUCUCAGCAACGUCACCCGCAUAUCGAUCCACUGGAACAUGCUGUGCUCCCAAAACAUGCUCGUCACGUUUUUGUCGCUCGUUAAUUUCACCCAAGUGAAUGAUACUCUCCUCUCGUCGAGCGUUGGACGUUUAUACCGAACGUGUUCCACCCUCCUUGUGUCUAUGGGGUUGACUCCUUGGUUGAAUUCAGUCAGUUCAUCCUUGAGACCUCUUAACGUUACACCAAGGCACCGAACCUUCAACCUCUGAGGUUCUCCGCCGUUGAAUUGUGCAUGAACGUCGAUCCACCCGACAAUUGUUUCAAAUCUACACAAUAAGAAAUAAAAAAAAAAUCGAUGAAAAACUCAUUCAAACAUUUCAUCAAACACUUGAUGUGCAAAUUAUACAUAGACUCUAAAAAUCAUAAAAAUAACCCUAAAAUUAUAAAUCAUAUACUCUUACUAAAAUAAAAAAAUUAAUCAUAUACUAUAACAUAAAUCAUUCAACUUAUGUUUAACAUAAAUUUUUUUGUUAUAACCUAAAAUAUAACAAAAUUAUUCAACUUAUAUUUACUCUUAAAAUAAAUCAUAUACUCUUACUAAAAUAAAAAAAUAAAUAUAAAACACCAAAUUAAAAUAUAACCCUAAAAUUUUAAACUAUAACAUAAUCAUCAUGCAAACAUUUUAACUAAAUUAAUCAACUAACAUCUAAUCUAAAAAUGAUUUAUAACAUGUAAAUCUAAUUAAAAACUAAAAUAAAAAAAUAAAUAUAAAACACCAAAAUAAUAAAUAACCCUAAAAUUCUAAAUUAUAACAUAAACAUCAUGCAAAUAUUUUAACAACAUUAAUCAACUAACAUCUACUCUAAAAAUUAAUUAUAACAUGUAAAUCUACUCAAAAACUAAAAAAAAAAAAAAAUCUACUCAAAAACUAACAAAUAAAAACAUUUAUAAUAACUAAAAUGUAAGUUAAUAACAUUAUAAUUACUUACUUGUGAUUUUGUUGAAUAAAUUUGGUUGGGUUUUUUAGAGAGAUUUGUGAGAGAGAUUUGAAAUUUUGGAAGAUGAGAUGGGAUGAAUAAUGGAUGAGAGAGCUUCUGUCAGAUUUGUAGCAGAAAAUCCUCGGCAGUUAACUACCGAGGUUUUCCUUCGGCAGUUAACUGCAUCCGGAUAUUGAAUUCUUCGGCAGCUAACUGCUGAGGGGGCAAAAACGUAUUUUACUCGUGUGUCUCAGCCUUAUGCAAUGUGUCAACAACAAUUCUCAUGUGGAUUUGUGCUGCCCAUUUUUCAAUAUCGGUGAAAUAACAAUACCCCUCUUUUUCUUUCAAAAAAAUAAAAAAUAAUAAUACCCCUCUUUUCGAUGAAACUCACAACUACAAGAUCUUGAGAUUAAAAUAGAAUAAAAACUUUUUAAUAAAUUUUACAUACAAUUGUGAAAUCUCACGUUUAAACUAAAUAAAAACGUUUAAUUAAACAACAAUUUUUUAGGAAGUUUAAUUAAACAACAUUAGCAUUACUAGUAUGAUAGCACGAGGGAUCAACGUACGUAUUAAAUUUUGUGUCUAAAAAACGUACAUAUUAAAUUUGCUGUUCAACAAAAAAAUAUGUAAAUGUUAAAUUGUAAUAAAAAUAUUAUUUUAAAUUGAAUUGAAAAUUAAUUAACAAAAAAAAAUUACAUCUCACACAAUGUUAGUGAUAGGUUAAGUUAUUUGACAUAAGUAAAGUAAGAGAUUUUCACUUCGAAGAGAUUUGCACUAUAAUCAUUAAAGAUUACAAACGUUCGAUCACAUAAUAAAAAAACUAAAUGCUCAAGCACAACUAAAAGAGACUUCUCACACUCUAUCUUAAUCAAAUAAGAGAUGGUUUGGUUUUACACUUAAUAUACAACCAGAUGUGUAAACAAUUACAAAACAUAGUAGACUCUGAGACUUAAGAAUUUCUAAGAUGAUAAGUUUGUAAGAAAUUCGAAGUUCAAAUGCGCUUUGAUUUUGACUGAGUAAUGACACUUUAAUUAUUAAAGUCUUCAGCUCCAUGUGUAGAGAAAGAUAUAAUAGACAAUGGAGAGAUGUCAGCGCAUAUUUUAAUUUUUGAUAAGCUUGAUCAUAGAUGUUAAAAUGUUUCUUGAUUUGGUUAAUGUCGUUGAAAAGUCGUUUGAAAUCCCCUUGCUUCAAAAGAAAUUAUCCGUUCAUUACAAUUGUCUUUGAAGUUCUUUGUUUGUUUCUGCAAGUGGUAAGAAGACAAAGUGUACUACCUAAGUCUGAUAGUGACAUCUUCAGAAGACGACAAUUUUGACGUGUCAUUCAGAGUCUUCGGAGCUUUCUGACCUUCGGAGUCUGAUGUCCUUUGGAAGGUACUUCUUCAGAGUGCAGGACUUCAAAGUCUGAUCCUCCAGAAGUUAUACUUCUUCAGAGUCUAGUCUAGAACUUCAACUUCUCUUUAAAUUCCAAUUGCUCUUGUAUAUGUUCUUCCAUAACCAAAACUUGAUUUGAUACAUUAAAUUUUAGUUUUGGUUCUCAGCACUUGAACAUACAUUAGCAUAUCCAAUUGUUCUUUUAAGAGCUACUGUAUAAAACUCAUUUUGUGUCAACAAAUUCAACAUGAUUCUCAAACAUUGAUAAUGAAAAUAAUUAAUCUGUUAGUUGCAUACCGAUUCAACUGAAACCUCACAGCAUCCAUUUUAACAAAUCACUAUCUUUUGUCAAUAGUUAAAAAUCUUUAAAAAGAAUCUACUAAAAGAAUUUGUAGUUGUCAUAUAUGAUAGUGUAGAACUUGUUCUUUGACCUCAAAAGGGAUCCUAUAGUGUUUUGUGCUUGUCAUUUAGGCUAAAUUCAGCAAUCAGCAGCCUAGAACACAUAACUUUGACCCAAAAUCUAACAACUUCUAUUUAUCUUUUUCUUUUGCUUGUUAUUACAAAGCCAACUAAAUUACUUUACAGAGAGUUCUCUAUGUAUAUUAACUUAAGUCUCCUCCAAAACAUAAAACAUUAGAAAAACAACAAAGAGGAGAAAAGUUGGAGAUGGAUGUGACCCUUCCGAAUGUGAUAAUCAGUAAUGACACUCCAGUAGUUGCACUUUCAACCGGAUGGUUCAACCACGACAGUAGGUGCCUCAAAAACAAGGUACUAACUUGUUAGAGAUACAAAUGUGUUUCUUGAUCUUAAAUAGCACCAUGUCAGCAUCAGAAGUAUUAUGGAGGUCCAAAAUUUGAUCAUUGCUACUAGUGUUUUUUCCUCCCCUAACAAAGUAACGACGUACACUUCCCUAUAAAACAUAAUCACCAUCUUGGUCUUAUAAAUAACAAUUGAUCACUAGCAUGAUCUAUGGCCCCGGCCACUAAUCUAUACAUAGAUGUCAUGACCUAAAUAAAUCCUAAAGAAUCAAACAAAAAAUGAUAAAAAAAAAAAAAAAAAUUAAUAUCAAGACGUAAUAAAUGCAAAGUUGCAGUUUCCAUGAGAGAAAAAAAACUACUCCUAUAUUUCUCAGACUCAGUAACUCUUGAUGUUAAUGAUAGUGUGAUUUUUUAUAUUGAAGUAAUGGUAGGAAGUAUUUUACUAACACUGUCACAUAAUGUAAAGGAGAUGUUAAUUUGUUUUUCCACACCAUCACAUAAUUUUAUUGAAGAGCCUUAAACAAAAUGUUGUUAGAUGGAGUACAUACCAAGUACCUGACUAAUUCAUACCACAUUAUGAGCUUAUGUAUGGUUGGAACAUUAGCUACUGGAGUUGCAUUUUUGCUUUGGUUGAUGCCAUGUUUUUCACUUUUGUCAUGUGAACUGAUUGAUGACCUCGAAUGUCAUCCGUGGAUGGCUCGGAUGUACGCAACAGUAUCAAAUAAAUUAUCCAAAGAAAUUGCAGAUAUACCAUCAUCACCAUUUAACAUGCAAACAUAAUAACGAGAAGCAAAUUCCCAAGGGAACAAGCAAAUCUGUGUGACCACAACGACAAAACAAAAAACUCAAAUGUCAUAAUGGAAUAGCCAAUAAAGGAAGGAGUGUCAUAGUAAGGCAUAUUCCUAAACAGAUUACCAACAAAAACGGGAAGAUCUAGAGUAAUAACAGUUGCUAACAACCACAUUUGCGAAUGCAAUCCACGAAAACUAAAACAAGACCCAAAACAUCUAUCUGGCAAUUAAAACCCCGUUACUCAACUUUAGGUCCUAAUCAUGUUUCAGGGCUCUUAAAAGCAGAAAUUAACAACAAAACAGUCAACAAAAGGGUCUAACAAUAACCUAACUUCCUUGUUGCAUCCUCGCGCAGAGGAUAAUUAACAACAGAAUAGUCAACAAAAGGGUCUAACAAUACCCUAACAUCCUUAUUGCAUCCUCAUGCAAAGCAUUCCCACCUGUUUGCGUGGCAGUUACAUCAAGCUGAAAAAAAGAUGCAUACACAUCAAUCAGCAAGACAAACAACAGCAACUACAUAAAUGAAUUCUAGUCUACAAAGCAGUAAAAGAAUAAAUAUAUAGUGCACAACUACAAGUAAAAAGAAUAUUUAAAUUAGAAUAAAAAAAUCAUUCGGUUGGUUAAACAUUGGCUUAUUUCUUAUAGAAAUGGAAAUUAAUUUGACCUUUCUAAAAGAGGGGUGCAUUUAAAAGAUAAAGUACACAAUUGAACUGGUUCAUGGGAAAACCAAUUAUUGAGAUUUAAAAGACUAUAUGGUUUGUUAAUUUAACCCCAUUGAUUCUUCAAUGAAUAGUUGUAAUUGCAAUUUAUCCUCUAUGCACCCCUUCAUAAUAGAGAAGCCAAAUGGAAAUACUUCUCUCUAUAGAAAAAAGAAACCGAGAAAAAUAGAGUUGGUUUCUAAAAGAAACAAACAAGAUUCACUAUCAUCAUAAAUAUUAAAGGAAAAGGCUUCCUAUCACUUACCAUUGUUAUUCACCGCACUUUGAGAAUACACAAACAAGGUAUUUACCACCAAUCACCGACAAUAUAUGGCCUGGUCAAUGAAUGGCGGAAUUUGUUUUAUUUCAGUGCCAAGUUCUUGUUCAAUCCUAUACCUGGACAACAUAGAGAUACAAACACAUCAGAAAUCACCAGAAAGUAGAUCUGAAAUUCAUAUCUAACAAAAGGCUUAGGAUCCACUAAAGCGAGUAAAGAGUAAAGAAUAAAGUGAGAAAAUCAAGGGUUAUUAUUAUAACAAACUCGUGAUUUGUUGUUGUGUACGUACAAUAUCUACUUUGAAUUUUUUUAAUUAAUGGUUAAUAUUGUCCACUUUACUCUCUAAAGUGAGUUGCUAACUUUAGUCUAAAGUGAGUUGCUCGCUUUAGAGGAGCCGGAUCCCUAACAAAAAUACUUACAGAUUGAAGCGAUCCUCAUAGGUUACCAAGUUCACUGCUAAACCAAGGUGCCCAAACCUUCCGGAUCGACCAACCUGCAUAUCAACAGAAUAUCAAUGAGAACCCAUAAAGAGAAUAAUUAUCAAGGUAGGGGAGAAUGAAUAAAUCAAACAUACCCUGUGCAGAUAUGUUUCUGAGUUCUUGGGAAAAUCAAAAUUAAUAACAACAUUCACUGCUUGGAUAUCUAUUCCUCGAGUGAAAAGAUCUGAGUUUCAAAAUGAGAAAAGCAAUAAGUUGACCAUCACUGUUAUAUAUAUUGUAUUAUAACACACAUCAUCACUCAAAAAUCAUCAUUGCACCAAUGAACUGCAUUAAUCAUAUAAAUAUAAAUGACAGUUGCUUUUCUGACAUAUAAAACUUCCUAAAAACACAUGUAAAUGAUGUUUUUGCCCCCAACGGUAGUUAACUGCCGCUGGAUAGAUCCGGCGGUAGUUAACUACCGCUGUAUACCAACACAGCUUAAAAAAAAAAAAAAAGCUCCAACGGUAGUUAACUACUGUGGAGCAUGAAAAUUUAGUUGUUUUCUACGCAAACACACUGAGUGCAUGUGUGCUCACUGUAUAUCAUGUUGGCAGAGGCACCUCCUCCUCAUUUGGAAAGAAAACAAAAAGGGUCAAGAUUCCUUGCCCAUUCUUCUACUCUUUGACAGCUAGCUAGUCCAAUGCUUACUUUCUUUUGCCAUCGAUGUUAAAUCAAAUCAACCCACUUUUUUCUUUCUCUCAUGUUGACAGCUAGCUUGUCCAAUGUUAUUUGUGUCAUACCGUCAUUAAUCAUUAUUCAUUACUAAUGCUUUCUAGUUCCUUUUUUGUUAUGAAAAGAUGAUGAGCUUGAAGCAACUACAGUGACAUAAAUUGAAAAAAUUGAAUUCAGCGGUAGUUAACUGCUGCCGGUUUGCCCAACGGUACUUAACUACCGUUGGGGGUAAUUUCGUCAUUUACUUGUGUUUUUAGGAAACUUUUGAUGUCAGAACAGCACUUUUCAAUAUAAAUUAUGCUACUAUUAACUUAUAAAAAUUAUUUCCGAAAAAUGAAUAGAUAUAAUAUCAGAAAAUAAAGGAAAUAAGAUCAAAAAAAGCUACCUAUUUAAGAAAGUCAUAGUAAAUACAAAAAACAUGAUUGCUCAUCUAUAGCAGGAUACUGAAUUGUCAUUAACACUUAACACUAACAUACCAGUACAAACGAGAUUCCUGCAUGCACCAUUGCGGAAGUCAUGGAAAACUCUAUUACGGUGGUCUUGCAACAUCUUUGCAUGUAUAUAGAAACAUGAAUACCCUAGUUCUGUGAUUUUCUUAGCAAGGAGUUCAACUCGAUUCACCGAAUUGCAGAAGAUGAUGGAUUGGUUUAUUUGCAGCUGAAAUAGAAGCCAUUAUUACUAUCAUAUUCAAAUCUUGCAAAUAAUAAAACCUACAAUAUCUUGGCAUGGACAUCACAUACCUUAGAAAAAAGAGUAUUUAGGCAGUGGACUUUCUGCCUCUCCUCCACAAAUGCAUAAAAUUGUGUAAUACCCUUCAGAGUAAGCUCAUCCAUAAGGUUAAUGAUAUACGGCUUACGAAGAUAUCUAUCGUUGAAGUCCUUUACAGUGACAGGAAAUGUAGCUGAAAACAAUAGGAUUUGACGGUUUGAAGGAAGAAAUUGAAUCAGCUGCUCUAUUGAAGGCUUGAACUCUGGGGAGAGAAGUUUAUCAGCCUGAUAGAGAGAGAGAGAGAGAGAGAGAGAGAUAUAAAACUUCUGUUUGAUGUAUAACUCACUACUAAAAGCAAGGAUGUUUAAAGUGCCAUAGAAUGAACAUUAGUGAAGGACACAGGUGAACAUGUUCAGAUAUAUGUUUACAACACAAAUCAGAUGCAACAGAGUUGUUGCAUCUGCUUCAAACUUGAUAACACAACUUACUCAAGGAUAGAAAUGCCUCAAAAGUCAUGCAUUCAAUUUUGUAAAAGUUUAAAAAUAGUUUUUUUCAAUGCAAAAUUUCUACUUAUGGAUUCAUUACGGUACAUGUUAGCAAAGACCCAUUGUAAAUUUUAGGUAAACUGUCAUUACCUCAUCCAUGACAAGCAUAGAACAAUCUUUCAGAACACAGACACCCUUCUUUGCAAGAUCCAAUAUUCUUCCGGGAGUACCAACUAGCAGAUGAACAGGUUGAUAUAAACGCAUAAUGUCAUCUUUCAGGCUGGUACCACCUGUUGUGACCAUAACUUGAAUUUGUAAAUGCUUUCCAAGCUCUUUACACACUUGAGAUGUUUGCAGAGCCAAUUCUCGUGUUGGAACCAGUAUAACAACUGCAUCACAGAACAAAAUAAAAGGCAAUGAUCAAAACAUUGGUAGAACCUAAAUCAAUAAUCACUCAAAAAACACAUCCUCUGCUAUUUUCAACUAACUUCGACAAUUGGCAACAAAAAACACAAUUUUGUCAAGUAAUUAUCUAUAAACAGUAAAUUAACAAUUAAUAUUAAGAACAAGGAAUAAUUAAUGGAUAUACAAAAGACUGUAUUGUAGCCUCACCUAACUUAUAAUCCCUCCGGCGUGAAAUAUAAGUGAAAUUUGACCAAAAGAUGCAUAUUAAGAAAAGUAGUUGAUCACAUUUAAUCAAUGCAAUCUCAAAGAAAAAAAUAAGCACAUUGCCUAAAUUACCCUUCAUGACUAAUAAUUUGAUUCAUUGAAAAUACAAAAAUUAAAUUAAAUGAGGGGUAUUUUAGAGAUGCUAACAUUAAAUAAGAAAACUUUUCAAUUUGCUUAUAUUGCAUUCCAAAAACAUAUGAAGUAAAUUGUGCUUAUAACUCAUUAGAGUGUACAUUCGUCAGAUGUUGAUAUUCUUGACAGCAAUGAUGGAAUGUCUAAAACAACAAUAACAACGUAUCUACUAAAAACAAGUUUGUUCCAAGGUAACUCCAAAAUUUAUAUUAAAAAUGAAAAAUCUCAGGAACAAAUUGCUCCCAAAACGUAAGUGUGUUUUUGGUCAAACUGGUGAAAACAGAUAUGUAGCCAAACUUGUUUAUCUGAAUACAAAACGAAAUUAUUAAACUAGCAGGACCUACCCUUUAACAAAUUCCAUUUUAUUUUUAUUUUUCAAAUUUAAUAAAACACAGAUGAGUGUGCUGACAAUAAAUAAGCAGUAGGCUACCAGAAUGAAACUGAGACAUAAUAAGGCAUAAACAUGUAUAACUUCAGAUCCUCAAGUAAGCAAAGAGAAGGAAGCACACCUUGAAUAACAUUUUUAUCUUGAUCAAUUUUUUCCAAUGCAGGAAUGCUAAAUGCAGCUGUUUUGCCUGUUCCAUUUUUAGCCCUCGCAAGAAUGUCACUGCCAGUAAGGGCAAUUGGAAUGCUUUCUUCUUGGAUAGGGGAAGGCCUUUCAAACCCCUUCUCAUAUAUUCCCAUUAGCAGCUCACGCUUCAAAAAGUAAUCCUCAAACUCAUUUCCCUUAGUUGCUGUCACGUCCUGGGUAGAAAAAUUAACAAAAGGUCAAGACUGGACAAUGUUUAAAUGACUAACACCAAGAUGAUAUAACAUUUACCAGGUCUUCAAAACGAUAUUAUGAAAUAUCAUUUGGAAAUAUAGCCACAAUCUGACAUCUAGCACUUAAUUUAGGAUAAAAAAAAUUAAUUCUAUAAUAAUAAAAAAUAUUAUUUCCUAGAUUUCUAGAGGUGUAAUAAAUGAUUAAUACUAGAGAAGAGUUUUCAGUUUUACAAGCAUGCAUGUUUCUACUAUAAAUUUUAGAGUCUUAAUCGUCUAAUAACUGAAAGCACGGGCUAUACGGUACAAAAGAUGACAUGAAUCAACAAAGUGAAAGCUAAAACCUAUGCAGAGAAUCAAUUCCUACAACAGAUGUGUCCUGUUCUGUACAAACUUGAAGAUCGCAACCCCAAAGAAUAUAUGAUCAAAACAUAAUGUAUAUUCUAAAUAAACAAUCACUUGGAAUCAAGGUAGUCAAAGUCGAGAUGCAGUAACAGGGUGGGGUGGGUCACAAGAUCGAAAAUCAGGGCAUCGUAACAAGGGUCGUAAAAUUCACUUUGAAACAUGUAUAUAAAAAAUCAUGCAUAUGCCUAAAAAAUAUAUAUAAGUGGAAAAACACUUUGAAACACCACAAUUACUUAAUCAAUAAACAAAUAAAUUUUAUACUUAUUAAAAAAAAAAAUAUAGCAUACUAUCUUUUCUUUCGUUAUUAUCAUUGUCAUCAUCAUCAUAAUCAUAAUAACUAUUAUUAUUAAUGCAAACUUUUAUCAUUAUAUGUAUUAAGUAUGACAACCAAAAAAAUUACCAAAAAUAAAAAGAAAGCAAAACGGUAAAUUAAUAGGCAAAGCGUGUAAGUAGUUGGUAACAAUGGGUUUGAAACUGAAGGUCGCAGCCUUUCAUGGUAUUUUGGGGUUUUUGUAAGCCAGUGUCAUUUUGAAAAAAGGAAAGCGGACCCAGCCUGUGAAACACAUCUCCGUGUAACACAAUCUGCAUCUGCAGAACUCGUUUCUACCAGUCUAACGUCUAUGCACGCGGCGAUCCCAGCCACUCGCACUAAUUUCUGAUUCAAGCCACUCACAAACACGGCAAGAGGUUGCAAGAUCGUGAAAGCGUAGGAUUCUAUGCUCCAGAUCGCGAUUUUGUCUACCUCACUUGGAUUAUAUAUAUAUAUAAAGGAUAAUAGCUUUUAAUUGUUCAGAAUCAUACCUCUGUAGGCAAAACGGUAAAUUAAUAGGCAAAGCGUGUAAGUAGUUGGUAACAAUGGGUUUGAAACUGAAGGUCGCAGCCUUUCAUGGUAUUUUGGGGUUUUUGUAAGCCAGUGUCAUUUUGAAAAAAGGAAAGCGGACCCAACCUGUGAAACACAUCUCCGUGUAACACAAUCUGCAUCUGCAGAACUCGUUUCUACCAGUCUAACGUCUAUGCACGCGGCGAUCCCAGCCACUCGCACUAAUUUCCGAUUCAAGCCACUCACAAACACGGCAAGAGGUUGCAAGAUCCUGAAAGCGUAAGAUUCUAUGCUCCAGAUCGCGAUUUUGUCUACCUCACUUGGAUUAUAUAUAUAUAUAUAUAUAUAUAUAUAUAUAUAUAAAGGAUAAUAGCUUUUAAUUGUUCAGAAUCAUACCUCUGUCCUAUAGCGUGUAUCAGCAGCUGGAAUCUUUAAUCUUGCCUUCCAAUCUUGUGAACUAAACAAAAUUAAUUGAGAAUAUGAUAGAUUGCUUUCAACAGAUAGAAAAAAGCAAAUAAAAACAAGAUUCACUGCACUCUAAGAUAAGAAAAUUACAGUGGAAGCAGAUAAAUUGCUUUCAACAGUAAAAGAAAUUAAAAAAAAAAAGCUGAGCUCAUAUACUCAAGCUAUCAAAAUUACACGUGAACCAUAUCAAUAAACAUUAACGGAGAAAAUCCUUCAUAAGAAUAUCGGCUUCUCUCGAACAGUUACAUAUCAUCUGAUACACUUGGGCAAACAACCACUCAUGCACAAAUAGAUAAACAUCGAAAAAGAUCUCAUGCCCUAACAUCAAAAAUUCAACACCACAAACAUACAAAAAUGUAUUCAUUAUUUGAAAAUGCAUAUGAGUAACAGAGUCACAAACAUGGUAAUAUUGUCAAUUGCAGAUCAUGGAAAAUAGUGAUUUGUUCAAAUUCCGCUACGCAACACUGCUAUAGUACUGCUAUAGUGCUGCUACAGCCGCUUAUCCACAAUAUUUUGUACUAAAUAGCAAAUAGUGGAACAACAGCAGUUUGUUAGUGCUAUAGUGUCGUUGUAGCCGCUAUUUAACAACAUUGAAACACAAGACAAAUAGUAAUUACAAGACAAACACACAAACAAUUAUACAAAUGUAAAAAGUCAAGCAACAAAAAGAGCAAUCACCUAGGGUCAUUUGUUUCAGACUGUACAGUCUUCUCAACCUCCUCGACAACAUUGGUGUCAGUACCACCACCCAACUGGUUCCUCCUCAGCCACUGUUGCUGCUGCUGCUGCUGCUGCUGAUACUGUUGUUGAUUCUGUUGAUGAUGCUGAUAGUGUUGUUGAUGCUGAUUCUGAUUUUGCAUCAUGUGCCUCUGCACAUACUGUUGUUGUUGUUGUUGUUGAUAAUGUGGUCUCUGUUGAAACCCGGCGUUCGCAUUGUUCGGGUUUGAGUUCAAACCACCACCACCACCACCACUACCACUACCACUACCUCGUCCUAACCCAAUCCCAGGUGGAUAUCUCCCUCUAUUGUUAUUGUUCAUGAUUCAAAGUUUCAAAUCCGAAAAAUUUCUACCCAAAAAGAAUGUACAAUUAACUAAACUCAACUACAAACCUAGGGUUUCUUCUGAAUCGCUGAAACGAUAAGUAUACUCAAACCCCGUAAGUCGAUGAAUUCUCAAGAUGGGGUUACGAUUAAAGACUAAAGUAACGAAAUCUUGGAAGAAAAAUGUGAAAUUUCUAAGGGUAUGAUACAACUACAAGAUCACCCAAAAGAAUUUGGUAGGGUUGAGAAUUUGACAAAAAUUUGAGGAUUUUUGUACAGAUCUACGCUACAAGAGAUGUUUGAGUAUUAGGUUUGAAUCGAGAAGCGAUUUGUUGCAGAAAUCGAAGAAAGGAAAAUUGAUUUGAAGGGUUACGGUGAAGGCGCUCUAUGUUUCAGUCUUAGUGUUGUUUCAUUUCCCUAAGUUUUACACCUCAAGCGUCAAGGUCGGUAGGGUAAAGGCGCUCUAAGAGUUGUCUCUAUGUAUCAAACAAUUCUUCCUCUAAAGUGGGGUGCCAUCUUUUAAAAAAAAAUAAUUAAAAAAGGGUCUUCGACCUAAGAGCCGACUAAUUCGAGAGGUCUAAUCCCACCAUUCAUUUGUGGGAGUCCAUUUAAAGUUAGAUCGUAGUUUUGUACGGACUUAAUCCAUCAAAAUUGACACUAGAAAAAACCAAACCCGAAACCUUGACUGGAAUAUCAUCUUGAUGACGUUGUACAUUAGUUAUCUACAUAAAUGAGUUAUUGUCACAAGCUAAAGGGCACCUUGUUUAGAGACCCCUUAACUAUUUGACUAGGGAUUUGAUUUAUGUCUGAUGCAUAUGACGAAACAUAUGUAAAAAGUCUUCAUUUAAUUGCACACGUGAAUAUGAUGAUGAUGACUUCACCUUAUCAUCUAUUUCAAUCUUUUUUUGCUUCAAAUAGUGGAUUCUUUUCUGCUUGCCUAAAUAAAGUAAUUUCAUUCCCUAUACUUGAAUUCUUAAUAGGAGUAAAAUAUUUGUUAAAAAAAAUUAGUCAAAGUAUUUCAUAUAACAAUAGAAUGUUUCUAUAUAGAACUUAAACAACUUAGAGUUAUCCUCGAGUCAGUACGGGAAAAACCUUAACUUGAACGCAACAUCAAGUGAUUCCAUAAGUUAUGAAGUUGCCUGCCACACAUUUAAAAAUUUAUUGAGAUGUAAAUGUGGAUCUUCGACAAGAGCUCCACUCAACUUCCCCAUAAUUUGCAGCAUAGAAAGGUAAUGCUACAAUUUAAUUUAAGCAAUCUAAGAGAAGGACGGUUAAAUUUAGUAAGUUUAACAACUCGACGAUUAGAUAAGAAGUGAUGUAAGUAAAUAAUUAUGUAUCCCUUAUUAUGUAAUUGUUGUGUUUGUACGUGAUGCUCUAAGGUUAUUUCUUGUUAUCACGAAAAAGCUUUAUAAAUAAAAGAAAGAAUCAUAGCAUGAACUUCUUCUUUCAAUAUUCCAUUUUAACCCUAUAAUCUUAAGUCUCCAUAACAAAUAAAAGUUACCAACACUUACUCUGGCACAAGUAGCACACAUUUGGGGUUCCUUAAACUCAAUUAUACAUUUUUUUAAAACACUUAAUUAAUUAUUUUACUUAGUUAACAUCCAAUUUAUUAGUUCUUGUGAGCAUAACUCAGUUAAUCGGUAAGAACAUCACAUUUUAUAUGCAAGGGUCACGGUUCAAACCCCAAAUUUAAUACAUAAUUGAUUAACUCAACACUCUAAUCGACGAGUCUAUAGGAAUACGCAAUGACGACUUUAGUGAAGGGAUCACUAUUGGCCUCAACAAUCGAGUGGUGGGUCAUGUGGACGUUAGGAUUGAGGGAAAAUGUGUCAUCAAAUAUAACGAUAGUUCAUUAGCAAGUGCGUUCAUUCAACAUCUUCAAGUAUUAAAUUCAUUUUGAUAUAUAUUUCAGAUUAUCAAAUUUGAAUCUUUUCUCAAAGUUCAAAAGCAGAAAAAAAAAUUCAAAGGGUUGCAACACAAUUCAAAUACCCUCUUUCUUGUGAAUCUCUUCUCAAAGUUAAGAAUAUAAGAAAAAAUAAACAAAUUUGGUUUUAGGAUGGACUAAAAUUGUGUGAAGGAUAAUUUUGUAGGGACAAAUAACAUAUCUAACCCUUUAAAAUUUGUGCAACUUUUUUCAAGGUUGUGGAAAUUUUGUCUUCUCUAAACAGCUCCUUCAGGUUAAGAUUCCGACUCGACAUAAGAUUUUUUUCAAGAAGAAUUAUAGUUGAUCCUGGUGGUAUUUCUUUUGUUUUCUUUAAUGUGCAUGUACAAUUGGUUUAUCACAUGUCUUUUUUUAGGUUGUGGUAUCUUGUGUUUAGGUGGUUGGAGUGGAAGUUUGUUUUCCCUUCAAAUUUAGCGAAUCUUCUUAGUAUUAUAUAAAACUUAGGUGGAGGAAAAAGGAGAGGUUAUGUUUCUUAUUUACCGGCAAACUAUUGUGUUGACCACGUGUCGAUCUCAAAAUGCUCACCUUUUUGGAUAAGGAGACGUUUGUGCACGCACAGGUUGCAGGUGGAUAAGGUUAAAUUCACCUAUUGAAAAUGGUUAUUAAGAAAACAUUCUAGUCAAAGUUGUUCCUUCUAUGAAUGAUGGUUUUUUUGGUGUUGUUUUACCUUUCAGCUUUCGCUCUUGUUUUAAUGCGGGAGAGAUUCUUUGAUUUUGUCAUCCCAUGACUACUACUUGUACUCAAUUUUAUAUACGUUUGUACUUCUAAUUUUUAUUUAUAUAUAAUAUAUUUGCCAUUCAAAAGAAACCAACACAAAAGAGGUCACAAGAACCUCCUAAUUGUGGUAAACCGUUUUUCACUUUUAUCAUGUGAACUGAUUGAUGAUCAACCUCGAAUGUCAUCCGUGGAUAGCUAGGAUGAAAACAAUAGUGCCAAAUAAAUUAUCCAGAGAAAUUGAAGAUAUACCAUCAUCACCUUUUAACAUGCAAACAUAAUAUGAGAAGCAAAUUCCCAAGGGAACAAGAAAAUCAUUGUGUGAACCACAAUGACAACAAAAGACUCAAAUGACAUAAUGGAAUAGCCAAUAAGGAAGGGGAGCAUCAUAGUAAGGCAUAUUCCUAAACAGCUUACCGACGAAAACGGGAAAAAUCUAGAGUAAUAACAGUCGCUAACAACCACAUAUGCAAAUGCAAUCCACGGAAACAAAAACAAGACCGAACAACUAUCUGGCAUUUAAAACCCUGUUGUUCAACUUUAGGUCCUAAGCAUGUUUCAGGGCUCUUAAAAGCGGAAAUUAACAACAAAACAGUCGACAAAAGGGUCUAUAAAUGCCCUAACUUCCUCUUAUUGCAUACUCACUCGGAGCAUAAUUAACGACAAAACAGUCAACAAAAGGGUCCAACAAUACCCUAACUUCCUUAUUGCAUCCUCAAACAGAGCAUUCACACCUGCUUGUGUGGCAGUCACGUCAAGCUGGAAAAAAAACAUACACAUCAAUCGGAGAGAGAAACAACAGCAAGUUAAAAGAAUAUUUAAAUUAGAAUAAAAAAUCAUUUAGUUGGUUAAGCUUUGGCUUAUUUCUUAUAGAAAUGGAAGUGAAUUUGACUUUUCCAGACGAGGGGUGCAUUUAGAAGAUAAAGUGCAGAAUUAUACUGGUUCAAUGGAAAACCAGUGAUUGAGAUUUAAAUGAUUAUAUGGUUUGUUAAUUUAAUCCCAUUGAUUCUUCAAUGAACAGUUGUCAUUGCACUUAAUCCUCUAUGCACCGCUUCAAAAUAGAGAAGCCAAAUGGAAAUAUUUCUCUUACUUAACUUUUUAUAAAAAUGAAACAGAGAAAAGUAUGUCCAAUUUGUUUCUAAAAGAAACAAACUUGCAGACAAUUACAGAAAAAUAAAAUAACUAUUUUCACUUAGUCAUAAUAAAAUCUCACAAACAAGAUUGGCUAUCAUCAUUAGAUCAUAAAUUCUCACAAUAUUGAAUAUCAUCAUAAAUAUUAAAGGUAAAUGCUUCCUAUCACUUACCAUUGUGAUUCACCACAGUUGAGAAUACAAACAAGGUAUUUACCACCAAUCACCGACAGUAUACAGCCUGGUCAAUGAAUGGCGGAAUUUGUUUUAUUUCAGUGCCAAGUUCUUGUUCAAUCCUAUACCUGGACAACAUAGAGAUACAGACACAUCAGAAAUCAACAGAAAGUAGCUCUAAAAUUCAAAUUCAUAUCCAACAAAAAUACUUACAGAUUGAAGCGAUCCUCAUAUGUUAUCAAGUUCACUGCUAAACCAAGGUGCCCAAACCUCCCGGAUCGACCAACCUGCAUAUCAACAGAACAUUCAUGAGAACCCAUAGAGAGAAUCAUUAUCGAGGUAGGGGAGAAGGAAGAAAUCAAACAUACCCUGUGCAGAUAUGUUUCUGAGUUCUUGGGAAAAUCAAAAUUAAUAACAACAUUCACUGCUUGGAUAUCUAUUCCUCGAGUGAAAAGAUCUGUGUUUCAAAUGAGAAAAACAAGAAGUUAAUCAUCAGAUCUGUUAUAAAUCUUUUAUUAUAACACAUUAUCACUCAAAAUAUCACCAUUGCAUUAAUGAAUUACAUUAAUUAUAUAAAUUAUGAUACUAUUAACUUAUAAAACUGACCAACAAAUGAAUGGAUAUAAUAUCAGAAAAUGAAGGAAAUAAGAUAAGAAAAAGCUACAUAUUUAAGAAAGUCGCAGUAAAUACAAACAAACAAAAAAACACUCUUGCUCAUCUAUAGCAGGAUACUGAAUUGCCAUUAACAUUAGCAUACCAGUACAAACGAGAUUCCUGCAUGCACCAUUGCGGAAGUCGUGGAAAACUCUAUUACGGUGGUCUUGCAACAUCUUUGCAUGUAUAUAGAAACAUGAAUACCCUAGUUCUGUGAUUUUCUUAGCAAGGAGUUCAACUCGAUUCACCGAAUUGCAGAAGAUGAUGGAUUGGUUUAUUUGCAGCUGAAAUAGAAGCCAUUAUUACUAUCAUAUUCAAAUCUUGCAAAUAAUAAAAUCUACAAUAUCUUGUCAUGGACAUCACAUACCUUAGAAAAAAGAGUAUUUAGGCAGUGGACUUUCUGCCUCUCCUCCACAAAUGCAUAAAAUUGUGUAAUACCCUUCAGAGUAAGCUCAUCCAUAAGGUUAAUGAUAUACGGUUUACGAAGAUAUCUAUCUUUGAAGUCCUUUACAGUAACAGGAAAUGUAGCUGAAAACAUUAGGAUUUGACGGGUUGGGGGAAGAAAUUGAAUCAGCUGCUCUAUUGAAGGCUGGAACUCUGGGGAGAGAAGUUUAUCAGCCUGAGAGAAAGAAAAAUAUAUAAAAACUCUGUUUGAUGUAUGAUUUGCUACUAAAAGUAAUGAUGUUAAAAGUGCCAUAGCAUUAACACGUGCAAAGGACACAAAGGUGAAGAUGAUCAGACAUAUGUGAUCAACACAAAUUAGAGAUCAAAUAGAGCUGCUGCAUCUGCUGCAAACUUAGCAACACAACUUACACAAGGAUAGAAAUUCCUUAUCCUAUCAGACCAAACAGAAACAUAACCAGAUAUCAGACAACACAACAUUCCGUACUCUCAUCUUAAGUCCUCUUCCGUAAAACAAUAUCAUCAAGAACAGUUAAUAAUGCUCCUCUACAGAAUGCUAUAUAGAUUAGUAAAUGGAAAAUGCUAACAUGUGCCCUAAGAGAAAAUGUUAAGGAACUCAAUAUAAACCUUGUCUCAAAAGCUGUGCAUUUAAUUCUUUAAAAGUAUAAAAAAACUAAAAAAUCAACGCAAAAUAUAUACUUUUGGAUUCAUGAACGCACGUGUUAGCAAGACCCUUAGUAAAAUUCAGGUGAACAGUCAUUACCUCAUCCAUGACAAGCAUAGAACAAUCUUUCAGAACACAGACACCCUUCUUCGCAAGAUCCAAUAUUCUUCCAGGAGUACCAACUAGCAGAUGAACAGGUUGAUAUAAACGCAUAAUGUCAUCUUUCAGGCUGGUACCACCUGUUGUGACCAUAACUUGAAUUUGUAAAUGCUUUCCAAGCUCUUUACACACUUGAGAUGUUUGCAGAGCCAAUUCUCGUGUUGGAACGAGUAUAACAACUGCAUCACAGAACAAAAUAAAAGGCAAUGAUCAAAACAUUGGUAGAACCUAAAUCAAUAAUCACUCAAAAACAAACUAGUCAUGAAAUAACUAAAAGCAAUUAAAAAUGAAAGCAUGCAUCAAUACAACAAAACACAUCCUUUGCUAUUUUCAAUUAACUUUGACAAUUGGCACCAAGAAACUAUCAGAACAUUUGUUAUGAAAAAAAAUAGAAGACUCAGUAGGCCAUAACACAAUUUUGUUGAGCAAUUAUCUAUAAAUAAUAAAUUAUGAAUUAAUAUCAAGAACAGGGAACAAUUGAUGGAUACACAAAAUACUGUAUAGUAGCCUAACCUAACUUAUACUCCCUCCGGCGUGAAAUAUAAGUGAAAUUUGACCAAAUUAUGCAUAUUAAGAAAAGUAGUCGAUCACAUUUAAUCAAUGCAAUUUCAAUAAUAAACAAGCACAUUGCCUAAAUUACCCUUCAUGACUAAUAAUAUGAUUCAUUGAAAAUACAAAAAUCAAAUGAGAUGUAUGCUAACAUUAAAUAAGAGAGUAGUGCAAUUUGCUUAUAUUGCAUUCGAAAAAUAUAUGAAGAAUUUUGCUUAUAAUUCAUUAGGGAGAGAGUGCAUUCAUCGCAUGUUGAUAUUAUUGACAGCAUUAAUCCGAUGUCUAAAACAACAACUUAUCCACUAAAAAUAAGGUUGUUCCAAGGAAAUUUUAAAAUUUAUAGUAAAAAUGAAAAAUCUCAGGAACAAAUUGAGCCCGAAAUGCAAGUGUUUUUGGUCAAAAUGGUGAAAACAGAUAUGUAGCCAAACUUGUUUUUCUGAAUAUUCACAAAAUGAUAUUAUUGAACUAGCUGAGUGCUGACAACAAGCAGUAGGCUACCACAACGAAACAGAGACAUAAUAGGGCAUAAUCAUUUAUACUAGACUUCAUAUCCUCGCGUAAACAAAGAGAAGGAACACACCUUGAAUAAUAUUGUUAUCUUGAUCAAUUUUUUCCAAUGCAGGAAUGCUAAAUGCAGCUGUUUUGCCUGUUCCAUUUUUAGCCCUAGCAAGAAUGUCACUGCCAGUAAGGGCAAUUGGAAUGCUUUCUUCUUGGAUAGGGGAAGGCCUUUCAAACCCCUUCUCAUAUAUUCCCAUUAGCAGCUCACGCUUCAAAAAGUAAUCCUCAAACUCAUUUCCCUUAGUUGCUGUCACGUCCUGGGAAGAAAAAUUAACAUAAGGUCAAGACUACCCCAAGAUGAUAACAUUUAGCAGGCCUUCAAAAGGAUAUUAUGAAAUAUCAUUUGAAAAUAUAGCCACAAUCUGACAUGUAGCACUUAAUUUAGGAUAAAAAAUUCUUGUUAAAAAGAAAUUAAGUCUAUAAUACUAGAAGAGUUUUCCGUUUUACAAGCAUGUUUAUACUCUGAAUUUUAAAGUUUUAAUCGUCUAAUAACUGAAAGCAUGGGCUAUAGGGUCAGGGGCGGAUCUACUGUGAAACAUGGUGUGGCAGUUGCCACACCAGAUAUACAUUAAGUAUAUAUAUAAUAUAAGUCAUCAAUGUAUUGAAGUUUCUUUGUUAGUCUAACGGUAUACAUUUGAUGGUUGGCUUGCAGAUCCUGUGUUCAACUCUCGGCGAGUUGCAGUUUUUGAUCUUUUUUUUUAAAUUAUUAAUAUUAAAAAUGGUGUUGCAGGGAAUCGAACCUGUAACACCAUGGUAAAAUGCUCUCACCCAAACCACUUUGCUAUAGUUUUUAAGUUGUUAAAGCUUUACUUUGUUAAUAUAUAUAGUUGCUUUGCAAAUUUUGCCAUACCAAUAUCAAUUGUCUGGAUCCACCCCUGUAUAGGGUACAAAAAAUUACAUGAAUCAACAAAAUGAAAACUAAAACCUAUUCAUAGAAUCAACUCCAUAAAAGAUGUGUCCUGUUCUGUACAAACUCAAAGAUCGCAAAUCCCAAACAAAAUAUAUGAUCAAAACAUAAUGCAUAUUUUAAAUCAACAAUCACUUGGAAAUUGGAAUAUAAAUAUAUAUAUAUAUAAUAUAUAGGAUAAUAGCUUUUAAUUGUUCAGAAUCAUACCUCUGUCCUAUAGCGUGUAUCAGCUGGUGGAAGCUUUAGUUUUUCCUUCCAAUCUUGUGAACUAACAAACAAAAUUAAUUGAGAAUAAAAUUAGAAGACAUUCAUUCCUUAGGUAAAACAAACACAUUAGCUUUAUCUGGCAGUAAUGAUUAAAUUUGCAACAGCAAAGUAUUGGAAAUUGAUUGUAAAAAAAUCAUCUAAGAUUGGAAAAUUAACUAAACCAUAGUGGAAGCAGAUAGAUUGCUUACAACCAAAUCGGGGCAGGAUCGGUGUAAAUUGGGGCAGCGUAACACGGAUCGUAAGAUCCUAUCAGGCUCAUAAAUUGACUUUGAAACAUGUAUAUAGAAUUAUGUAUAUGCAUCAUAGUAGUUAAGAGCGGAUAGCGGUGCGUAGCGGCCGACCCCAAAAAUGCUAUAGCGGGAUAGCGCAUAGCGCUAUGACCGCUAUUUCAUAAAAACAAAAACAACAAAAAUAAAGAAACAGAGAGAGCAGAAUAGAGUUUUAUAUGAAUAAAACAGAGGAUUGUUUGUACAAACUACAAACAGAAACAGAGAGAGCAGAAUGGAGUUUGGAAUCAAUAAUAACAAAGAAAACUAGAACAAAAAAGUAACAGGACAACAGAGUUUUGAGAUUGUUAAACAAAAAAAUAACAGGAUAACAGAGCAAACACGACAAAGUAGAGGAAGAUUUACAGCAGAGGUGAAGAAGUUUUACAGAAAAGCAGAGGAAGAUUUACAGAAAUACCCUUGUUUUUUUUUUAAACCGAGGACAAUUUUGUAUUUUCUCUUAAAAUGAAAUAGCGGUUCUAAACUGCAAAACCGCUACAAAGCGUUGCGCUGCUAUCUCACACCGCAACGUUAUGGCUUGUUGCGUAGCGCUCCGGCACCGCACCGCACGGCCGCUAUAGCGGCGCUAUUGACUACUAUGAUAUGCAUAAAAAGUAUAAGUGGAAAACCACUUUGAAAAACCACAAUUACUCAAUCAAUAAACAAAUAAAUUGUAUACUUAUUAAUUAAAAAGCAAUAUAGCAUACUAUAUUUUCUUUCAUUAUUAUUUUUAAUGCAAAAUUUUAUUAUUAUACGUCUCAAGUUGGCAACAAAAAAAUCACCAAAAAAAAAAACCAGAAGAAAGCAAAACGGUAAAUUAAUAGGCAAAGUAUAUAAGUAGUAGGUAACAGUGAGUUGGAAACUGAAAGUCGUAGCCUUUUGCAUGGUAUUCUAGGUUUUUUCUUAAGCCUAUGGUGUUUUAAAAAAGUGGGGCGCAUACCCGACCCGUGAAACACAUCUCAGCGUAACACAAUCAGCAUCUGCAGAAUCACUCAUUUCUACCGGCCUCACGUCUAUGUGCAGCGAUCCCAGCCGCUCCCACUAAUUUCUGAUUCAAGCCACUCACAAACACGGCAAGGGAUUGCAAGAUCGUGAAAGAGUAAGAUUCUACGCUCCAAAUCGCGAUUUUGUCUACCUUACUUUCAACAGUAAAAGAAAGAAGAAGAAGAAGAAACUGAUCUCAAACUCUCAAGCCAUCAAAAUCAACAAACAUUAACAGCAAAUAUCCUUCAUAAGAAUAUAAGCUUCUCUCGUACAAUUCAAUUACAUAUCAUCUGAUAGACUUGGGCAAACUAACCACUCACUCAGAAAUUCAUAAAUACGGAAAAGGUCCUGUGCCUUAACAUCAAUAAUCCAAAAUUCAACACGACAAACAUACAAACUGUAUUCAUUAUUUCCAUCAACAUGCAUAUGUCUGUAUAACACAGUAAAAAAAAACACAGCAAUAUUGGCAAUUGCAGAUCACGGAAAAUAGCGGGUUGUUCAAAUUUUGCUACUCAACACUCCUAUAGUGCUGCUUGCUACAGCCGUUAUUUCACAAUAUUUUGUACUAUUAAUAGCAUAUUCGUGGAACAAUAGCUGUUUGUUCAAAUUCCACUAUGUUGUAACCACUAUUGAACAACAUUGAAACACAAACAAAUCGUAAUUACAAGACAAACACUCAAACAAAUAUACAAAUGUAGAAAGUCAAACAAAAAAAAGAGCAAUCACCUAGGGUCAUUUGUUUCAGACUGUACAGUCUUCUCAACCUCCUCGACAACAUUGGUGUCGGUACCACCACCCAACUGGUUCCUCCUCAGCCACUGUUGUUGUUGCUGCUGUUGAUUCUGCUGCUGAUACUGUUGUUGAUUCUGUUGAUGAUGCUGAUAGUGUUGCUGAUGCUGAUUCUGAUUUUGCAUCAGGUGCCUCUGCACAUACUGUUGUUGUUGAUAAUGUGGUCUCUGUUGAAACCCGGCGUUUGCAUUGUUCGGGUUUGAGUUCAAACCACCACCACCACUACCUCGUCCUAACCCAAUCCCAGGUGGAUAUCUCCCUCUAUUGUUAUUGUUCAUGAUUCAAAGUUUCAAAUCCAAAAAAAUUCUACCCAAAAAGAAUGUACAAUCAACUAAACUCAACUACAAACCUAGGGUUUCUUCUGAAUCACCGAAACGGUAACUAUAGCGGAACCCCGUGAAACUGAGAUUUGUCAAAAUGGGGUUACGAUUAAAGACUAAACUAAAGAAAUAUGGGAAGAAAAAUGUGAAAUUUCUAAGGGUAUGAUACAACUACAAGAUCACCCAAAAAAAUUGGGUAGGGUUGAAAAUUUGACCAAAAAGUGAGGAUUUUUGUACAGAUCUACGCUACAAGAAAUGUUUGAGGGUUUGAUUUUGAUGAUUAGGUUUUGAAUCGAGGAGCGAUUUGUUGAAGAGAUCGAAGAGAGGAAA
rnacentral:lncRNA from 1 species